rnacentral:piRNA from 1 species
UUUUUAUUUUGUCUGAUUCAG